CCUCUUCUGAAAAAGAAUGAGAAAGAAAUAAGAAACGAAGCAAGCUAUAUAAGUAAUAUUUAGCUUCAGAAUAGAUUGUUUAGUUUGUAUUUCAUAAGCCUGGCAGUCAAAGGAAUGAAGAAACUAUAUAUUUUGAGGCUCACAAAACCUUUGCUAAAAGCUAUUUAGAGCCAUGAAAUCUUCCCAUUUCUACUUCAGAUGCUCUCAAUGGAUAGGAAGACUGAUCCAUUGAAGUUCGUUUUUUAUUAUUAUGGUUGGUCACACGAUCAGUUAGAUCAGUGUUUCUCAACCUUGACAAUUUUAAGGCAUGUGGACUUCAACUCCCAGAAUUCCACAUGCCUUAAAAUUGUCAUGGUUGAGAAACACUGAGUUAGAUGUUUAGAUUAGAUUUAGCAUUUUUAUCCACCGGUCAAGGAUCUAGGAUAUGCGGAUGUUGUUGCUUGAUAGUUUUAAAGGUAUUGUCACAGGAUGUAAGCUGUUCCAAGUAAAGUUGCCUUGUGCAAUUGAUUGAUGGGGAUUUUGUCAAUGCUGAUAGUGUUCAAGCAAUGCUCUAAAUUGGGAGACCCCAACCCCCAGUCCAUGGACCGGUACCGGGCCAUGGCAUGCCAGCAACCAGUCCGCAACAAACAAGCAAAACCCCAUCCAUGGGAUGCAGGCAGCACACAAAACCACACACCCUCCAGUCCGUGGAAAAACCUUUCUCUACAGAAGUGGUCCCUGGUGCCCAAAAGGUUGGGGAUCUCUGCUCUAAAUGUUUUGGGAUUGUACUUAGUGUGCCUACAGUUGUAACUAUCUUCGCUUUCCUUUGCCAUGGCCAUUCUACUUCUAUUUACAGGGCUUUGUAUUUUGUGAUUUCUUCCAGUUCUUUCUCUUCUAGUCUGUUGUCUCCAGGUACUGCCACAUCCACUAUCCAGACAUUUUUGGCUUUUUUAUCAACAAUUGUAAGUUUGGUGUGUUAUAUGACCAGUCUGUUUGAAUUCUAAAGUAUCAGGGCAUUUUAGCUUCUUCAUUUUCUAUGACUUCAUCUACUUUGUGAUCCUACCACUUCUUGCUUGCAGGUAAGUGGUAUUUCUUGCAUAUAUUCCACGGUUGCUAGUUUGUCAUACUGUUGUUUGUGGUCAAUCUGUGCAAGCUUCCUGUAACAGUUAACUAGGUGGUCCAUUGUUUCUUCAGCUUCUUUGCAGAGGUGGCAUUUGCUGUCUGUUGCUAUCUUCUCAAUUCUGGCUUUGUAUGCAUUUGUUCUUAAGUUAGAACAGCUAGAAUUAGCCCCUGGGCUCUUUCUUCAACUUUCCUGCUCUUAGUCAUUGCCAGGUCUUGUUAUCUGCUUUGCCUGCUAGUUUUUUUAAGGCACUGGCUAUAUAAUACUUUGCCUUGCCUUGUCUCUUUUCUACUCUUGAUUUGGUCAUUUUUGUAGGCCAAUUUGGUCUUGCCAAUAAGCCUUCAUGGUGCUCUAACUUCAGUGCAUCUUCUUUUAUGUUCUUCAGAUAUUCUUCCAAUGCCCUUUUUAAAUCUUUCAGCUGUCUGGUGUACUUUCAACAUUCCAUCCUUGCUAAUUGGUAAGUAGUCAGUCAAUGUUGCUGCAUAUAUGAAGGGCAUGAGUCAUUAUUCAGGAGUCAUUAUAUUGUAUAUGAAACAACCAAAUACUAAUAGGACUAAUAGGACAGGUGCCUACUUUGCUUGCAUAAAAAUAUAUAAAAGUAUAUAAAAUGAAUAGUGACUAAUCUAUAGGGUAGAACUAAUGCAUCUUUGACAGUCAUAAUGAGCAGGGGGUUGGACUAGAUGACCUCUAAGGUCCCUUCCAACUAUUAUCAUUAUCUAUUGUCAUCAGUACCUCCUUACUGAAUCAUUAACUUUACAACUUUGUUCACAAAGUCAGUAUAAUAUGAGGUUAAAGUGGACUUAAGAUAAUCUUAAGGAGAGUCAGGCUUAAGUCUACCCUCAGCCAUGGGAUCUGUGAGGUAACUUUUUCACUGAUAACCUACAACAGGGAUGUCAAACUUGCAAAGUCAUGUGAUGUCAUGACAUAUUGCGACUUUUUUUGCCAUUGCCGGCAAUGGAGUGGCCGCGGUUUCGCUAUGAUGCAUCCAGCCCACGGGUCAGCAGUUUGACACCCCGACCUACAAUAUAUGAAUGUUGAGAGGAUAAAAUCAGGGUCCAAAUCUGAGCUUCUAUACAAAAGAAGAUAAAUGUAACAAAUAAAUAAUCAAAAAAUCCAAUGCAUCUACAAAUUCAACAUUGCAAAAUCUGUUCCAUUGCAAAUAAUAUGUCAAAAAUGACCAUCCUAUGUUGAGGUUUUUUGGUAGCCUAUUUACUUCAGCUUAAGUUGUAUCCUAAAUACUGGCCUUACAGCAUGUUUCCCUGCUGGCAACAACUGAGGCACUGAAAAAGAAGCAGAAAAAAGGAAGACAUCUAGUUAUGAAGCAUUAACUUCAUAUUAAGUUUAUGGAGUGGAAAGCAAGACCACAAUGUAGGACUUUGUCAGCAGCUUCCCAAAGUAGGGAAACACAUUUAUACGAAACAUCCCACAUAUUUAUACAAAAAUAUUACAUUGAAAAUUCUACUGUAAUGUUAAUAGUUUCUAAAGAUGGGCUUUUUGAAGUCCCAUCCAUUUCCGAAAUCAAUCUGGGUUGGGAGUCAGAGCUUGAAGGCUGUGGGUGAUAAUCUCCCUUCUCCAAAAAUCCUGGCAAAAGUCUUGUGUGUUUUCUCCAAAGGAACUCUGUUGGGUUGCUGUUGCUUUCAUAAAGGCCAUUCUGCCUUCCAUUUGUUUCUCCUCUAAUGAUCUUGCCUCAUAGCUUCCAAAUUGUUUAAUUGGUGAGCAAUUAUCCAUUACAUACAAUGAUUCCAUCCUGGCAAAUGGCUGGUGUCACUAAAAGGUAUUUUGAGCCAGGGAAUGCAUGUUUUCCCUGGGUGCUGAGAUAUUGAAUGGAGCCUGUUAUUUAGAAUAUUGUGUUCCAUGGAUUGCCCCUAAGUAAUUACCAAUGAGCAAUAGCUGGUGAGCACAUAGCCUGGUAAUGGAAGCAACCUGUAGCUUGAAGAGAGAGAGAGAGGUAGGGGAAUUGCUUUUAGCUGUCUCUGAGCAGCACCUCAGUACCCUUUUCCCACCAGUGAUAGGCAUUGUUAAUAUAACACCAGCCUUUCAGAUUGCUGCUGUAGCUGCUCUCCUGUGGUGCCAUCUUAGACAAGAUCUCAUCACAUAACAGUGGCAUUCCCCAAUUCAGUGCUAUCAGGGUAUGUGGGAGACCCAUGGACCUAUGUUCUGGAAUUCAUAAUCUCAAUACAUUUGGAGAGUAUUGGCUACUCAUCUGAGAAAACUUGCAUGUGAUAUUGGUGCUCCUUGUCAUCUCAGGGAACCCCUUUUCUCUAUGGCGAGCCAAGAAAGAGAAAUACAGCGGAGACAUAUCUUGGAGGAAAAGAUAACGGUCUUAAUUUGCCUCUUAGAUUUAUCUGAAGAAAAUGCUUUAGGCCUCCUCCUAACAGGGUCAGCUAUGGAAAAAAUUGUCAUUUUGAUUCCAAAGCAGCUUGUGAUAUUUUUUUUAAUGAUUUUCUCAGGUUCCCAGUGUACAGCCAUCCAUUUCCUACGACACCAACACUGUUCUUUUCACCCAUUGUUGUUACAUUAUACAAGUGUUGAUAUCACCAAGGACAAAAGUUUUCUAGCUGAUGAUUCUUAUUAUUUUAAAAAAUAUAUUGAAUAGAAAUGGCCCCUACUGGUCAGCUCAAAUUUCUAAUGGCUCAAAUUUUCCAACAUCAGAGCAAGUUGGGUAAUAUGUUUUGUUCAGCUCUGCAACUUUGACAUCUGAGAAAUGUUCAGUUAUUUUAUCUAUCACUGACAAGGUCAUUUAAUAUAUUAUGUUAAGUGAAAUGUGAAUUUACUAUUGAAUCUACACUCUGAUCUUUGAAACAGCUGAGCCAUUAAGGCUACCAUAUAUACACUGCAAAAAUCUGGAUGAGCACUAGAGAGCAGCAGAACACCAGAGUUUCCAGUAUCAGAACUGUUCAAUUCCUUCUUUGCGUCUGUCUUCACACAAAAGGAAAAAAUAGUCCAACCUACUCAAAGCAGCACCACGGGAGACAAAGAAGGUAUUCAGAUCAAAAUAGCAAGAAAUUGCUAAGAGUGCACUUAUAUACUCUAGACAAGUUCAAAUUGACAGGACUGGGUGAUUUACAUCCCAGGGUUCUGAAGGAGCUAGCAAAUGAGAUCUCAGAACCACUGAACAAAAUCUUUCAGAGUUCCUGGAGCAUGGUGGAACUGCCUAAGGACUAGAAAAGAACUGAUGUGGUUCCAGUCUUGAAAAAGGGGGGAAGCUACAGACCAAUCAGCUUAACAUCAAUAGCAGUAAAAAUCCAGGAAAAGAUAAUCAAAGAGCAGAUUUAUGAUCAACUAUAAACAAACAAAAUGAUUACUAGAAGCCAGCAAGGAUUUGUUAAGAACAGAUCACACCAGACAAACCUUAUUAUCUUCUGUGAUAAAGUAACUAAAUUGUGGACAAAGUGUGCUUGGACUUCGGUAAGGCAUUAGACAAAGUAGACCACAACCUACUUCUUGGUAAGAUAGAACAAUGUGAGCUGGGCAGUACCACCACCAGAUGGAUUUGCAGUUGGCUGACCAACUAUGCUCAGUGUGUUAGUCCUCAAUGGAGCUGCAUCUACAUGGAGGGAAGUAUGCAGUGGGAUACCUCAGGGUUCUGUCUUAGACUCAGUAUUCUUCUACAUCUUAAUACAUGAUUUAGAUGAGUGGAUAGACAGGGAACUCAUCAGAUUUGCAGAUGACACCAAGCUGGGGAGAAUUGCUAACACUUUGGAAGAUAGACUCAAGAUUCAAAAGGAUCUUGACGGACUGAAGCAUUGAAUCAUAGCCAACAAGUUCAGUGGUAAGAAAAGUAAGGUCCUGCACAUUUCCUUAAGGUGGAAACGCUUCCCUUUUGUUUCUGCCCAACCCAAGGAUCUCUCCCAGCUGUUGAUUUUAAGAGCUCCCCUUUGCCCCUGGAAUGUCAGAAAACUAAACCAGAAUGAAAUUUGCCAGCUCCUAUCCUGCCAUUAUUUCCUUUAUUUCCACUCGCUCUCAUAACUUCUUCCUAGCAGAUGGGUAACAAAACCUAACAUCUUGUGCAACUUGAGCCUCUUUCUGGACAGAAUCAGAAUUAAUAAUAUUUUGUAAGGUUGGCACAGUAGAGAACUGUCUCACUCAUUACUGGGAAUAAGAUGAAGGUAAUAUAAGAACACAAGAGGAAAAAAUGUUAAAUGCAAACGAGGAGUCCAUUUUCGUAAUAGUGUUUUAUAGUUUCUUAGAACAUCACUCAGCUGUUAGAAAGUCUGCUUUCAUUACUCUUAUACAUGCACAACAAUGUUGGGUGAUGCUGUAAGAUACCCUAAGGUAGGGCUUUUCAACCAGUGGUACACGUACCACUUGUGGUACAUUAACGAGUGGCAUGUGGUUCGCAACCCUGCCUAGCCAAGUGUAGUGGGGAAGGGAAAGAGCCAGCGCAGGCAAGGACUUACUGUAAGAGAAUCCUCUGGAGCUGCUGGGGUGAGGCAAAGGCUCCAGGCUCACUUCUGGCUCACCCUCCCCCAUGAGAAAGGGGAAGGAGGGGGGCGGAGACAGGAGAGGCUAUAAAAGGAGGCAGUUAGGGUGGGAGAGAGAAAAAAAAGAAGUAGCCUUGGGAGGACGAGGUGUCAGCUUUAGCUGCACCAAAGGGGAAGGAUGAGGGUAGGGGAAAGAGGAGAGGAGAUCAAGCAGGCCGGUCAUGAGCCAAUCUACAACUUUUGUGGCAGCCACCUGUGCUGGCAGCAACAAACAGGCAAGAAAUGCAGCAGGAGAGGGAUUGCCCUACACGAGGAAUGAAGAAAGGUAGCAUCAGCUGGAGUCUGGGAGCUUAAUGUGGAAUAUGGGACAAGAAGUAACUGAUGGAAAAUUAUUAAAGAGAGAUCCAAUCUAGAACUAAGGAGAAAUUUCCUGACAGUGACAACAAAUAGUCGGUGAAAUAGCUUACCUCCUGAAAUUGUGGGUGCUCCUUCACUGGAGGCUUUCAAGAAGAGAUUGUAUUCAGGAAUGGACUGAACUCAAAUUUCUGAGCAAAAGGACAAAUACAAGAAGGCAGCCAGGAGUAAAUAACACCGGAUUUAAAAUAAAUAAAUAGCUGUUCUGCACGUCUCCUUGGAAACGGGCAAUACUCCUUAGUGCUUGGUGGAGGGAAGGGAUUUAUACCUCUUUUGUUUCAAAUGAAAACAAAUGAUAUUAAGGAACUGGAGAGGGAGGGGGAGAGAAAGAGGGGGGAAAUGUGCAUGUGUCAGGAGGAGGCAGCUAAGAGCAGGAAAAUCCUUCUGCAGUCACUGGCACAGCUAAAGGGGCUGUUUCUUCCCCUCAUUCUCUUACUUUUCUCCCCUGCUUGGAAGACGGAUGGGGGCCGAAAUUGUCCAAGCUUCAGGUAAAUUUUGCUUUUCCCAGAUGUGCGCAGAAAAGAGAAAAACAAAAGUUCUUCUGGCCAACUUUUGAGGGUUAGAUAACAGCAAAAAGCAAUGGCUCAGGCUGAAAAUAAAUGUAUUAAAAUAAAAUUAAAAUAAAUAAAAUUAUUAAAAUUAAAUAGCGAUCUUUAGUGGUCUUUGAUUCAUGAAAUUUUUGAGUAAGGGAGUAACUGUGUUCUCACAAUCCAUUUAACCAGACACAGCAUCUUAAGUUUGGUCAGUUUUAACCUUAACUUAUCCUGCAUUUAGCUCUCUCUCUCUCACUCUCUCUUUCUCUUUCUCUCACUCUCUCACUCUCUCACUCUCUCGCUCUCCCUCCCUCCCUCUCUCUGUGACUUUAGAGCAGGGGUCUUCUUGGUCCUGGCUGAGGAAUUCUGGGAGUUGAAGUCCACAAGUCAUAAAAGGGCUAAGUUUGAAGACCCCUGCUUUAGAGUUCAACAAGACUUGAAGGUCCAGAAAAUGGGCUAUCCUACCAGGAUAAGCAAGUUAGCAUAUUGUGUGAACACAGCCACAGUUUCAGUGAAGUCCUUUAGCAGCUUCCAGCCACCUUCACUCCCAGAUCAGAUAGAUACCUUCAUCUUCACUGCACCACCCUCUUUCUCCAUCAAGCAGAAGAAGUCUAUUGUCUCUCCUGUGUGCAUUUUUUGGCCGCCCUUUCCACAGUCACGGGGUGUGGCAGCACAGGCAUGCUGAGUUCUCUUGCAUAAUAAUAAUACUGCAGCAGCAAUACUGCAAAUAAUACUGCAGCAGCUGCUGCUACAGAAAUGCAACAUCUGGAGAACAGGAAGCUGUGGUCCACAUGGCAAAAACAUCACCUGUUAACCUGUUGCUGCAAGUGCAGCAAAGAGCAUGGUGAUAUUCUAGAGCAGUGUUUCUCAACCCAUGACAACUUGAAAAUGUGUAGACUCCAACUCCUGAAAAUCCCCAGAAAGCAAAGCCAGCUAGGGAAUUCUGGGAGAUGAAGUCCAUAUACUUUAGAUUGAGAAAUGCUGUUCUAAAGCCUAACCAAUCGUUACAGUAUGAUCACAUAGCUUUCCUGACUACAGCCUGGUUCACCAGUGGCACAAUACCUCUGAAAGGGAA